CUGCAAGGGUUACAGUUCAGUGACAAAUUUAACAAGUUUAAAUGCAUGGAACAUGCUAAAUUUCAGCCUUUCUGACAAGUUAUUACUACUACCAUCCCAAAAGUAUAAUAAAUCAAAAUAAAAAUACAUAUUUAUACAAACACCUCCAUAGACAUAAACGGAUACAUGAGAGGAAUCUCCAUGCACAUGAUUGUCAAUAAUUUUUCUUAAUUAUUUUUAAAGCAUCAGUUAUAAUUUUAUGUUAACACACCUUUGAGAGACAAUGUUUCCUUUCUGUUUUAGUGCUAAAGACAAAUCAAUAGCUUUGUUGUUCUGAUAGAUGUUAAAACACAUGUAUGUAAAACCAUUCUGUUAUCCCUUAUAUUACAAGAUCAAAAUGAUUAAAAGAAACUAAGAAGGAAACGUGUGUUGAGCUAAGACAACUCACUGGCCACAUCAAAGACAAUUACAGCAACAGAAGAAUCU
rnacentral:misc_RNA from 1 species